rnacentral:rRNA from 1 species
CAUGCAGUCGAGGGGCAGCAUGAACUUAGCUUGCUAAGUUUGAUGGCGACCGGCGCACGGGUGAGUAACACGUAUCCAACCUGCCGAUGACUCGGGGAUAGCCUUUCGAAAGAAAGAUUAAUACCCGAUGGCAUAGUUCUUCCGCAUGGUAGAACUAUUAAAGAAUUUCGGUCAUCGAUGGGGAUGCGUUCCAUUAGGUUGUUGGCGGGGUAACGGCCCACCAAGCCUUCGAUGGAUAGGGGUUCUGAGAGGAAGGUCCCCCACAUUGGAACUGAGACACGGUCCAAACUCCUACGGGAGGCAGCAGUGAGGAAUAUUGGUCAAUGGACGAGAGUCUGAACCAGCCAAGUAGCGUGAAGGAUGACUGCCCUAUGGGUUGUAAACUUCUUUUAUACGGGAAUAAAGUGAGGCACGUGUGCCUUUUUGUAUGUACCGUAUGAAUAAGGAUCGGCUAACUCCGUGCCAGCAGCCGCGGUAAUACGGAGGAUCCGAGCGUUAUCCGGAUUUAUUGGGUUUAAAGGGAGCGUAGGCGGACGCUUAAGUCAGUUGUGAAAGUUUGCGGCUCAACCGUAAAAUUGCAGUUGAUACUGGGUGUCUUGAGUACAGUAGAGGCAGGCGGAAUUCGUGGUGUAGCGGUGAAAUGCUUAGAUAUCACGAAGAACUCCGAUUGCGAAGGCAGCCUGCUGGACUGUAACUGACGCUGAUGCUCGAAAGUGUGGGUAUCAAACAGGAUUAGAUACCCUGGUAGUCCACACAGUAAACGAUGAAUACUCGCUGUUUGCGAUAUACAGUAAGCGGCCAAGCGAAAGCGUUAAGUAUUCCACCUGG